CUGGUCUCAGAUAUUCCAGGGUGAGAAGAUCACUCUGACAUGUGAGGUCCAGGGAGGAGAGAAGACUGACUGGAGGUAUUACUGGAGGAGAAACUCAGAAUCACUUCCAAACUAGGAUGAAAAGUUGUUACAGUUCACUGCUUCUGAGUCCCUCAAUGUAAAGUAUGAAUGUAUGGCCAGACCCAGAGAUGACUCUUAUUCUACAACCACAUGGAGUGAAGCCUUCACAGUGUCAGUGUUACAGAAACCCAGGGCUACACUGACAUCAGGCAAUACAACCAUCUCAGUCGGAGGCUCAGUGAGUCUUUCCUGCUCUGUGAGAGACUCUGAUGGAUGGAAAUAUGAGUUUUACAAAACAACAUCAACCAGCUGGGAGAAACUAGUUGAAACAAGUGUUGGGGACAGUGGAGUCAUCCAGGUAUCUAAAGGAGGAAUUUACCAGUGCAGAGGAGAGAGAGAAACAUCAGGUUAUCUCUCUGACAUGAGUGAUGUAGCCAUCAUUAGGAUAACUUUCACCAACAAGCCUGUCAUAACACAACAACCCAGCUGGUCUCAGAUAUUCCAGGGUGAGAAGAUCACUCUGACAUGUGAGGUCCAGGGAGGAGAGAAGACUGACUGGAGGUAUUACUGGAGGAGAAAUUCACGAUCACUUCCAAACGAGGAUGAAAAGUUGUUACAAUUCACUGCUUCUGAGUCCUUCAAUGGAGACUAUAAAUGUAUGACCACUCGCAGAGAUGACUUUUAUUCUUUAACCACAUGGAGUGAAGCCUUCACAGUGUCAGUGUUACGACCAAAGCUCUCUGUGUCUCCAUCAUGGUUGAUUCCUGGAGCUUCAGUCACUCUGAUCUGUCACACUGAACCUCCGUCAGCAGGGUGGAGCUUCUACUGGUUCAAAGCUGUUCCAAACUCUCAGGAUUCCUACACCUAUGAGCCUCUACCUGGUACCAGCAGUGGGACAGCAAACAAUUCCUUCACAGUUCAUGGACAGACACACACAGCAGGAUAUGCAUGUUCAGCUGGACGAGGGGAUCCGCUGAUUUACACACAACACAGUCGUCCCACAUUUGUCUGGUCUUCAGGUGUUCAUCCAUCAGCGUCUCUCACAGUGAAUCCUGACAGAGUCCAACACUUCACCUCUGAAUCUCUCUCACUGACAUGUGAAGGAAACUCUUCCCAGUGGAGGCUGAUCCGGUUUCUGACUGACGACUCGCUGUUGAGCUUUCUUCCUCCAGCUACAAUCAAUGGAUCAACAUAUAUUAAGAAUGAGGCUCCAAGAAAAGCUGUGUACUGGUGUGAGUCUGGAACAGAGUUCAGCAAUGCAGUCAAUAUCUCCACACACUCUGAUGGCGUUAUCCUGGUGAGCCCUGUGUAUCCUGUACCUGUGGGAGAGUCUGUAACUCUCCUCUGUGUCAUGAAGACUGGAAAUAUUUCCUCUGAUGUGUUUUUCUACAAAAAUAACAAACUCAUUGAAAAUGAGAGACUAGGAGAGAUGAAGAUCUCUGCAGUGUCAGAAUCAGAUGAAGGUUUCUACAAGUGUCAGUACAAUGGAAGAGAAUCAGCACAAAGCUGGAUGGCUGUGAAAGUGUCCAGAUCUGAGAGCUCUUCAUUCCAUGUCUGGUUGAUCUUUGGGCUGGUUUGUGGAGUUUUGCUUAUUUUCAUCCUCUGCCUGCUGUGGUGCUACAAUUGCAAAAAGAUAUUGUUUGAUAUAACUGAUUUGUUUUACAGGGUCAUGCUGCAGCAGACGUAUUGAGUCUUUGUAUGUCAAUCAAAGCUCUGCGACAAACCAGCCAGUGACCCAGAGUGAAAUUCAACUUUACUCCUCUCUCCUGCAUGGUUCACUUUUAGAAUUAAUACACUCCUAAUAUCAUCUGAUCUGACUUUAACUGCUUGCUGAAGUUUCUGAUCUGCAUUUCUUUGACUUCUUCUAGGUGAUGUUUCUCUUUAUGAAUCCCUCAGACGCCCUGGAAACCCUGCAAACGGUGAACCAGCUCAGGAUUACAUCAAUGUCACAUCCCACCAGCUUGAUGAUCUUCAUGAAUGAUUGUCAGUGAUGCCAGUGGAGCCUCAUCUUCAGGACUGGAAACCACAGCAGAGUCCGAGAAUCAACAGGUUCUGAUUAAAACAUGAAAAGUGACUGAAACCAGAUCAAGUCUGGUGGUUGAAACAAGGAGCUGCUCCUCAUGCACAGAAUACACACUGUGUGUAGGACGGUGUGUGGAGGAAGAUGCUUCAUUCCACAUAUUUCAAGUGAAAAUGUCUGGUUGAUUGAUUCAGUGAUUUUUUUUUUUUUCACACUGUUUCACAACAAUUGUCACGUCUAAGUUUGUUGUGAUUAUUAGAGGGUUUUAAUUUUAAAUCUGCACAGGUCUUCUUUAUAUAAAGUCUUUAACUGUUGUUCUGCUGAUUAUUAUUGUUUUAUCAUUUCAGUUUUGUCACUUUUUCACUUUGGAUGUUUCACUUAUUCAAAAUGUAUCAUUUUCUUUUAUAUUUGAAUAGAUACGGCUCACAAUCAGCACGAU